ACGUCUAAAUUAACUUUUUUUUGCUGAUGAACUGUAUAAAUGAGUGUCUAAUAGUGUUUUAAAUGUGUGUAUUCAUUAUUUUAGCAUUUUGGUGCAUUUUCUUAAAAAAUUAAAAAUUCUGCCUAAAUACCACAGUAUAGCUCCACCUUCAGCUUAAAACAUAGAAUUUGACUCAUUUUGAAUAAAUUUUAGCCAAUGGCUAAAGAGUAAGAUACUACGUAAUCCAGUAGAGUACUACGUAGCAGCUCUGUGUCAACGUUAUAAAAGCAUCGGGAGUCUCGGCCACGCCUUGUGGCAAGUUGGGAGUUGGAUUUGCAUGAGAGUGUAGGAGGCUAGCCGUAGUUCAGCAUUAGCAUAUAGCAUUAGCAUAUCCUAGUCUUUAGCAUAGCUUUUAGUGUUAUACAUACUUAUUUAGUGUUAGCUUGGCUGUUGGAUAUUGUAGUUUAGUUACUGUUUGGCUGUUAGUGUAAUUAGGAAAGUAGUUCGGGUUUAGUGCUCCAUAUCGUGUUAGCAUGGUGAGAUGGUGUAGUGUAGUAUGGUUGCGGAGCUCUGUCGGGUUUCACUCCUUUCCGCUGGACUUAGAAAUUAGGCGCCAGUGGUUGCGUGUCUGGAAAAGAUUCAGCUCCCGCCUGGUGCUGUAGUUUGCAACCAGCAUUUUACCCGCGAUUCUGCACGUCUCCGUUCCAAGAGGGAGGCUGUGCCCACCGUGGCUCUUCCGCGAUUUAGAUGCAGCCCACCGACUCUGCUCCCCCACCAUGACGGGCUACAGUCUGAGGCUAAAUCUACCCAAGACACUGGCUGUCAGACUGAUUUAGUAAUCUGCAAGAAUGCACUUGUCCAGGCUGACGUGGUGUUACCCGUAGCAAAGAGCUCACAGCCUCAGUGUCUUGUGACACAGGGACCAUGACAGAAAUUCAUCUUCCAGAAGGUCCCAGAGCAUCCACACCUCCUGAAAAGACCACGGUGUGAGGUGUCUGCUGUUGAUUCCAGCUUCCACCUCAGUGACAGUGCAAGCUCAGUGAACUGUUCAAGGAGGCUACUGAUUCUGGCCCUGUGACACUUGGUGGUCACCACCAGGUGGUGACGUGUGAGCUGAUUCACCUGGACACUCAGCAAAAUAUGGACUCUACACCAUGAGGCAGGCACACGUUAAUACUCAAUAAGAGCACAUAAGCCUGGCUGAUCACCUGAUAACUCCUGUCAUCUGGUUAUGACAGCAUGAGGAUGUCCUCACACACCUGUAACCUACCAGCUCAUCUGGCAGAAUAGAGAGAGAAGAGACAACACCACAUCUCCUGUUCCUGGAAAGCCUUCAGCCAUCCUUUGAUGACUGAGAACCUCCAUUAGCUCUGUCUCCUGUCUGCCUACAAUUAUUAUAAUAAAUAUUGUGUUUGACAAGUUUUUUUGUGCUGCCAAAUAUCUCAUUUUGAUUCCAGUUUUGAUAUUUUAAUGGAUAUUUAUAAAUUACAUUAAUUGAAUUAUCACAUUGUCGCAUGUUUAACUAGCUCUAUUGUGAUGAAUUAAACUAGCACCUCACUGUUAAAAGCUCGUUUUAAUUUCAAGCAUGUUUAAGUAUUUAUGGACAUGAACAAAAACAGGAAAUAUAUAAAUUGAGAUUUAUUUAAUUAAUAUAACAAAUAAGGGGGAAAGAGUCAUUGAAAGGCACAUUCUUCUGGAAGCUCCUGAUCCCGACGACAUCAGCAGGAGACCAGCUGCAGACACCAGAGGAUCACCUGCAACCAAGAGCAGCUAGUAUCAGUAAAUAAAUAAUGAAAUCAGGGCAGUUUUAAUGGGCUGAACACAUUACAGAAUAAUUUUCUCAUGGGAUAUUUUCAUAACUUUAUGCAGCAGACUAGCUUGAGCCCAGAUCUGGAGAGCUGCUAUCCAGCACGUUUCAGUGGAUUUUCCUGCUUUAACAGGUUAGAUAAGCUGUUAAGCAGCUCAGCUGUUUGUUGCUGAUUAAAACCAGGUGUGUUGAUGCAGUUAAAUCUCUAAAACAUGCUGAAUACUAGCUUUUUAGGGCCAUGGAGACAAACCCUGCAGCUAAUCCAAUGCUAUGGCUAACGGCUACUUACGUUCAGAGAUGGGUCUGUUGGGUCGGUUCCAGUAAUUUCAGGCAACUCACAAGCUCAAAACAAUAAGGCUCAUGUCCGCUUGUCUCCUCCAAAUAGACUUGGUCCCUUUCUUCUCGAGUGUCUGGGUAAGGAGGGGGAGAAACGUCCUCCACUUCUAAUGACUGCUCAGAGUGAAGGGAGCUAGCUUCGUCUAGUUAGCCGUCUCUUCGUCACUGCCACGGCUCCGCCCUCUCGGUCCUCCAGGCAACGCCUACUAAUGUUGCAGUUUUCAAAAUUGAUACGUGGGUGGGGUAAGACUCUGAGGCACACUUGACAUGCACUUUAAUAAA